GUGUGGAAAAAAAAUUCACAAUCUUUAUGACGAAAAAAAAAUUGAGAGCAACUUUUCUAAGGCGACGAAGAAGACGAAGAGGAAGGAGAUCUUAGGGUCCCCUCCAGAUGACUACACCAAUCACCAUCGGAAAAUAAGCUUCGGCAGAGUAAUUCUCUCGCUAAUGGAGCCUGCUCAGAUCGAAUCUGAUUUGAUAUCCUCGUCUGAGACGGCGCGUUUGAUUUCUUUGACGAGACCCGGAUCAGGCAUGCGUCGCACGCCGGAAGGAUGGCUUUCUGGACAUUGAUAAAAAGUCUGCUGCUCUUUGCAAAUGCGUUUGUUUCAUCCACCGUGUCUACUCCUCAGACCUCGAGCUUGCAGGAGCUGAAGCAAAGUGUGUUAUUUGCUUGUCUGAAUUCGAACAAGUAAUGUAUCAAUCGUUAUGUUGGUUGAUGUUUCGAACGGGCUUAGCUUUGCUUCGUAAUGAAACGAGGAUUCUCAUAAUCUCCUUCUAGCUCCACUCCUCCUCCUUCAUCCAGAUUCAAAUCCAACCCUCAAGGUUCGAAUCGAUUUCUCUUGCAAGUUGUUUCGGUAUUAACUCUGUAACUUGUUUUUAGUUUCUGUUUUACUGUCUUGUUUCUGUUUCAGUACUUUUGGAAUCAUUUGCUUAAUAAUUAAAAAGCUUAAAGUCAGAUUCUUUUGUUGGGUUUGAGGACAUACAAGAGGAGGUGAUUCAGAGUAUGAUGAAGAGGAGAGCACAAAGAAGUUUGCGAGGAAAGUAGCUGAUCAUUAUACUCACCAAACUCUGGAAGAGAGCGAAGCUAGUCUCAUCAUUCAUCUGAAGAAAUUCAACAAUUGGGUUUGAUCACUCAUUCACUUUUUAUCAUCUCUUAGACAUUGUUAUUUCAGUUUUUUUUUAAAUUUUUUUUUUUUAUUCUAAGGAUUCCAAAUUGGAAUACACCAUUGUAGACAUUUUUUUGUAAUGAAUCCUUAACUAUUUAAACAAAAAAUCUAAAAAAAAAAAAUUAAUAAAAUAUGGCUAAGGUUUCCACAAUGGAAUCCACCAUUGUGGAUGCUCUAAUGGCACUUUACGAUCCAAAAGUUGUCAGGACCACAAAUAAUUGCAGCAGCUAAAUCAGAGCGGAAAGGGUCCCAAACUCUGUAUUCAACCUCAGUU